rnacentral:rRNA from 1 species
AAGUCCGAAUGGGGAGAUUCAAGCCUAUCCGUGCCGGUGGCUGUUGGGUUCAGAUGGUGCGGUCGGGUAGGGGCUCUCGGGCCGCCUGCUUUGCUCCGUAUUCACUCGUCCCGGCGGUAUCUGUCUGGUGCGGUGGGCUGCACUUCUCCCCUAGUAGGACGUCGCGACCCGUUGGGAGGUUCCGAUCAUAUGGCCCGCGGUGGAGCCCACGCCGGAGCGCAGGCUUGUCUUGCGUUGCUGUGCAUGGACCCGUGGUGACCUGAUCGGCGCCCGACGGUAUCAAAGCUUGGGAAGGAACCGCACAGAGGAUGCGUCCGACGCCCGCUUCGGGCUACGCUCGGACAGGUUCGCACCCGGUCAGCGGCGCUACUGCUUUCGAUACUCGUCCGACCCGUCUUGAAACACGGACCAAGGAGUCUAACAUGUGCGCGAGUCAUUGGGCUCACGAAACCUAAAGGCGAAAUGAAAGUGAAGGCCAAGUCCUUGGACUGGUGCUUAGGGGUGAUGACCGUUCCUUAACCGGGCGGUCCGCAACCCCGGGGCGUCUCAUUCUCUUUGAGAAGUGGCGCACCCAGAGCGUACACGUUGGGACCCGAAAGAUGGUGAACUAUGCGUGGCCAGGACGAAGUCAGGGGAAACCCUGAUGGAGGUCCGUAGCGAUUCUGACGUGCAAAUCGAUCGUCGGAGCUGCGUAUAGGGGCGAAAGACUAAUCG